rnacentral:tRNA from 1 species
GAGGGCUUAGCUUAAUUAAAGUGUUUGUUUUGCAUACAAUUGAUGUAAGUUUGUAGGCUUGCAGUCCUUA